rnacentral:rRNA from 1 species
AUUGAACGCUGGCGGCAGGCCUAACACAUGCAAGUCGAGCGGAUGAAGGGAGCUUGCUCCUGGAUUCAGCGGCGGACGGGUGAGUAAUGCCUAGGAAUCUGCCUGGUAGUGGGGGAUAACGUCCGGAAACGGGCGCUAAUACCGCAUACGUCCUGAGGGAGAAAGUGGGGGAUCUUCGGACCUCCCGCUAUCAGAUGAGCCUAGGUCAGAUUAGCUAGUUGGUGGGGUAAAGGCCUACCAAGGCGACGAUCCGUAACUGGUCUGAGAGGAUGAUCAGUCACACUGGAACUGAGACACGGUCCAGACUCCUACGGGAGGCAGCAGUGGGGAAUAUUGGACAAUGGGCGAAAGCCUGAUCCAGCCAUGCCGCGUGUGUGAAGAAGGUCUUCGGAUUGUAAAGCACUUUAAGUUGGGAGGAAGGGCAGUAAGUUAAUACCUUGCUGUUUUGACGUUACCAACAGAAUAAGCACCGGCUAACUUCGUG